rnacentral:misc_RNA from 1 species
UUGUGGAGGAGGACGCCGAAGGUGGGGCUAAUGACUGGGGUGAAGUCGUAACAAGGUAGCCGUACCGGAAGGUGCGGCUGGAUCACCUCCUAACAGGGAGACAACAAAAUGUUUAAUAUUAUUAUUUUGUCACCUUAGGUCGAUCGGUAUCUCACGUUCUUAAUUCGUUAAGAAUUUCAUUUCCUAAGUUUUUCUAGGUCACACCCAUUAUUUUUCCUGGGCCAUUAGCUCAGGUGGUUAGAGCGCACCCCUGAUAAGGGUGAGGUCCCUGGUUCAAGUCCAGGAUGGCCCAUAUCUCUAUGUUGGGGGUAUAGCUCAGUUGGUAGAGCGCCUGCUUUGCAAGCAGGAUGUCAGCGGUUCGAGUCCGCUUACCUCCACUGAUUACCACCUCUUCCAUAACCGAUAGAAAGGAAAUGUUUUGAGUUGUGAUCAUUAUUCUGAACGAAUCUAGCUUCCUAAUGAAAUCAUUAAGAUGCUGGACUCAUUGAAUUAAUUUUCAUUGUUUUCAGAGAACCUUGACAACUGCAUAGAUUAUUUUUAAAGACAAUAAGCAUCUUUAAUGAUGCAGAUUUAUUAUUUGUGCGAAUGCAUUAAUAACAAUUCUAUUAAGCUGAUGCUUCAAUUUUGAAGUUAUUGGUCAAGCUACAA